GAGUCUGACGGCGGCUACUGACGGCGGUGCACGGAUUUCCUCUGUGCCCGGAGUUAAUCACGUUCGUGAGUUACCAGCUGGUUUUGUUUUGCUGCGCAUUGCGUGAAAAGGCCAAUUUACGUUUUAAAGGCCACAACGCCCACAAGCAACAACAUCAGGCGCCCCAUGGCAAGACGCCGACUGGGAAGCUGCCCCUGUCGCCCAUACCUAGAUCUGCCACUGGAUGGGAUUGACGAGCUGUUUUGAGUAGACUUUCAUCUGGAGGGACAUCCCUGGCGAGAGUGCCGGCUUGAAUCUGGCCCUUAGGUCCGUACAUGUGUGACGGAACUGACAGUGGAAGCAGAAGACGGUCUGCAGGAGAGAGGAGCAAGUGGUGGGGACCACACACCUGCGGUGAUGUGACUGACAAGCCCCUACUGCAGAAGGGCAUUCCGGACAGCAAAAGUGACCAAUCUGUUCUGCUACAUUGCGUACUUUCGAUCCAAGCGCUGUGUUAUUGCUGAGAGUCUGAGGAUACUGGUUUGAAGGACAAAAUAGGAAGGGAUUGGUUGCGUUUAAUGAUCUAUUUGCAUACUGGAAAAAUCUAUGAACGAAUCUAUGAAUGAAUUAAAUUGGGAUUUGCUGUGUCACUGUUUUAAUCAUUCACUCUCCACUCCACUCCACAAGAAAGUUUCCUAAUUGUCUUCAACAAAACACAUUAAGUCGUAAUUCAAAGAGCAAUUAUCAGAGUGAAACUGUAAACAAAAUAAGAUUUACGAAAAUCCCAGUAACAUUUACUGACAUAUCGUGACACCAUUUAGGCUACGGCUCAGUUUCAUUAAGACAAUCUGGCACAUUUUCCUCUCUACAGUAAUGACCUAACCAGGCCUUACAUGAUAAGAGAGAAAAAUCUUGUUAAUGACAAUACAAGGUAACUAAUUAUCCAUUUUCUUCUACGACAACUGUGGGGUCAUUAUGCUUUCUGCUCAAAGGAUCUUGAAUUUGCACUGUGGAUAUGUUCUUAAAUUAGUCUGUGUUGAAGAAAAUGAAUGUGUUCACCCCACAUUCAACCCUUUUGGCAAGUGCUUGAAGAGUUCAGCUGGCAGCACACAUGCUAAGAGCACUGAGGUCACCGGUUCAAUUUUCUUCAGAUUCACUGACUUGAAAAUUGCCUGCAACUGUCCUACCUUGUUCCAGUUGUUAAUUGCAUUUACUCUGAAACUUACAUUAAGCUGUCAUGGAAAUAGAGAUCUUUGCUGCCAGUGUAAAUAAAUGAGACUGUGAGAACAGAAGCACGACCCUUGUCUUGCCUUGGCUAAUUCUACGCAAAUACCAUUCAACAUAUCAAUUUACUUGAAGUGUUCAGAGUAUUAUGUUAGUUGAAUGUCAAAACAAAUUUCAGUUGUUUACUUGUGAAAGUGGUGUAUAGAAGGACCUGGAGAUCAGUACACCCUAUAGGAUUCUCCUCUCUAAUAAACUUCUCAGAAAAAAAUUAAAUACCCAUGAAGGAUGAAUUAAAGUUUAGAAAUGCCUUUAAAUCUUUCGUAAUGUAAGACACUGUCAUAUUGCACAUCUAUAGCAUUAGCCUGUAAGGUGUAAUACAUUAUAUUAUAUCCUGUGAGUGACCAUGAGAUUCAUGAUCCUACAUUUCCCUCGGAAUAAAUAAAGUAUCCAUCUAUCUAUCUUUCUAUCUGAUCAAUCACCUGCUGUAACUACCAGAAGUAGGCCAGCAUAAUAUCCAAAAUGGUAAUCUUAUCAUGGUAACAAAGGUCAAGCUGAACUAAUCAUAGUAUGGGAAU